UAGCUAGUUGGUAGGGUAAAGGCCUACCAAGGCGACGAUCGGUAGCUGGUCUGAGAGGAUGGCCAGCCACACUGGAACUGAGACACGGUCCAGACUCCUACGGGAGGCAGCAGUGGGGAAUAUUGGACAAUGGGGGCAACCCUGAUCCAGCAAUGCCGCGUGUGUGAAGAAGGCCUGAGGGUUGUAAGGCACUUUCAGUGGGGAGGAGGGUUGACAGGUUAAGAGCUGGUCAACUGGACGUUACCCACAGAAGAAGCACCGGCUAACUCCGUGCCAGCAGCCGCGGUAAUACGGAGGGUGCGAGCGUUAAUCGGAAUUACUGGGCGUAAAGGGUGCGUAGGUGGUUUGAUAAGUUAUCUGUAAAAGCCCUGGGCUCAACCUGGGAAGGCCAGAUAAAACUGUUGAACUAGAGUAUGGGAGAGGGUAGUGGAAUUUCCGGUGUAGCGGUGAAAUGCGUAGAGAUCGGAAGGAACACCAGUGGCGAAGGCGGCUACCUGGCCUGAUACUGACACUGAAGCACGAAAGCGUGGGGAGCAAACAGGAUUAGAUACCCUGGUAGUCCACGCCGUAAACGAUGUCAACUAGCUGUUGGUCAUAUGAAUGUGAUUAGUGGCGA
rnacentral:rRNA from 1 species